GAUAAACGCUGGCGGCGCACAUAAGACAUGCAAGUCGAACGGACUUAACCAUUAGUUUACUAUUGGAGCGGUUAGUGGCGGACUGGUGAGUAACACGUGAGCAACCUACCUAUCAGAGGGGAACAACAGUUAGAAAUGACUGCUAAUACCGCAUAUGCCCACGAUCCGGCAUCGGAUUGAGGGAAAAGGAUUUAUUCGCUUCAGGAUGGACUCGCGUCCAAUUAGCUAGUUGGUGAGGUAACGGCCCACCAAGGCGACGAUUGGUAGCCGGACUGAGAGGUUGAACGGCCACAUUGGGACUGAGACACGGCCCAG
rnacentral:rRNA from 1 species